CUGUGUUUGCUGCUCAUCUUCCCUAUAAUCCGCUUCCUUGGAGGCUCUUUUGGAUUUUUCUUCUGUCUGCAAUGACAUUUGUCAUGCUUGCAAGCCUUAAAGUAAUGAUUAGCAUUGGCCUAAAAAAGCAUGCGAGGUGGUAUAUAAACAGAUGCCAGAGGAGAAAACUUCAUAGCGACUAAGAUACUAUAUCUUGGUGAAGCUGCAUACUUUGCUAAGAUAUACAGAACUCCUGUUUAUGAGAAGAGAAAAGAGGGAUGGCCAGAGGGCGGGGUUUUUUUGGGGGUGGGGGGGGGGGGGUGGAGGAGGCUUGGGUUACCCGGUUGGAAAUUUGCACCGUUGCUCUCAUUUUCUGUUCAAUCGUGCAGCGGGAUGCAUUCCUGUGGAAGUAUUUAUGCCAAAUGAUCAAAUGGCAUGUACUUCCAUUUUUCAUAGGGAGAAGGUCCAUAAAAAAGAAAGUCACAUUGAUAGGGUAUUUCAGUCCAUAUAAAGAGGAAGUCAUAUUGAUAAUUUAUUUCAGUCCAUAUAAGGAGGAGGAAGUCAUAUUGAUAAUGUAUUUCAGUCCAUAUAGAGAGGAAGUCAUAUUGAAUAAUGUAUUUCAGGUGCCAUAUAUUUUAGACCAUUUCUCUAUAGUAGGCUAUUUCAGAACCUAUCAAAAGGAAUUUCAGAAGGUAUUUUCCGAGUAAAUGUUGUCUGAAAUUCUCUGGACUUCCUAGGUGGAUUCAGAAAAAGCCAAUGCUACACAAAGGUAAACUAUCUUUUUAGUUAAUUUGAGUCUUUCUUACAAUACGACUUAAUUACAUUUUGUUUUUUAUGGUUUAGUUGAGCAAAGUUCAAGGCAUUUGACAUCACAAAGACCUCUUUUAUCAUUUUUUGACUUACAUAAUAUCAUUUUUGUAUUAAUAUUUGUAAAAGAAAUUUGCCUUCUUUCUUUAUUUACCCAUAAGUGAAAUUGAAAAGCUAGCAACGCCUGAAAUCAAG
rnacentral:lncRNA from 1 species